AGUGACUGCAGGUAGGUCAAGGGGGAACACUUGGAAUAGUACUUCUGUUCAUAAGCAUCCUUAUUUCCUGUAUUUCUAACUCACCAGGGUUCAAAAAACUCUUAAUUCUGUCACAUGAAGACACCCACGGCGGGGACAGCAGCACCAGGAUCAGACUGCAAGCUGAUAUGAGCAGCACCACUGCUGGGUGGGAAAGCCAGCUGGGGCUGUCUUCUGCUUUGGAGCCUGAGGACUCACGCUUAAUACUCUUCAGGAAAACCAGAGCCCGAGUAUCUGCAUUCUGACCCCAUCGCACAGAGGUGGAGAUAGGCAACAGAACGCCAGUGUGAUGAUUUAGAAAUCAAAACAGAUCUGUCCCGGACUGAAAUCCUCCAUUCACAUCACACCUGUAUCUUGCCUCUGUGGUCAAGCAAUGUCAGAGGCCCAGGCAUAACUAGAAAUAAUUUAUUGAUUUGCCAUAAGAAAUCGCAGGCUCUGGAAUUGGAAUUUCUCAGAAUCUCUGUGAUAAGCACAUUUUUUCCGGGUAAGCUAACCUACAUGGGAAGGAGCAGGUUGCUCGUUGAAAGUGGAGUCAGAAGGAAGAGAGACAAAUAUCCAGUAAUAUUAGGCCUGAGGCAUGCAUGUUAGCCAGAAACGGGUUUGCCAAUGGAAUUAGAAUAACAGCUCCUAUGCUAAGUGCUUUACGAGUACUAACUUAAUCCUCCCAGUAAUUCUUGGGGAUACGUAACUUUUUAUCACUCCUGUUUCACAGGUAGAAAACUGGAGAUACAGGUUUAAAAACUUACCCUGAUCAUGUAGCUAAUAAACGGCAGAGUCAGGAUACGAACCCAGCUGUAAAAAAUCUGGACUCCUAAAAAUGCUCAGGACCUUUUAGCUACAGUGUUCAUCUCGCACAGAGGCCAGCCUUUCGGUUGAGAAGGAAGAACGGAGGACUUGUUUUCAGGUUGAAACUGAAGGCUUGUGGUCUCCCUGGCCUGGAAGCCUUGUCUGCUCCCUUAGACAGCUCUGCAUGUCUGACCUGUGAUUGGAAAUGCUGACUCUGAAAGGUCUAGAAGAUUAGGAUGUCGUGGCCUGCUACUUAAGCACUGCACAGUCAUGUCACUGCAACUCAAAGCAGCGAAUGAGUUUCACCACAGUUUCCAAGGAAGUAAGGAAUGGUCUGCAUGCGUUGUAAAGGGUAGCCUAGAACUGGAGGGUGACUGUUCGGCUCAGUCAGGUCCUCACUCUUGUGGACUUGGACCAGAAGACAGUUAAGUCACAAUAACAGGAGGAGACACAGAAACUGAGACUCGCCAAGAAACCCUAAUGGCAGAGCAUUCACACUGGAUGGCCAUCGCUGAGAGGCUGAUCACGUGAU